rnacentral:rRNA from 1 species
GACGAACGCUGGCGGCGUGCUUAACACAUGCAAGUCGAACGGAAAGGCCCUGCUUUUGUGGGGUGCUCGAGUGGCGAACGGGUGAGUAACACGUGAGUAACCUGCCCUUGACUUUGGGAUAACUUCAGGAAACUGGGGCUAAUACCGGAUAGGAGCUCCUGCUGCAUGGUGGGGGUUGGAAAGUUUCGGCGGUUGGGGAUGGACUCGCGGCUUAUCAGCUUGUUGGUGGGGUAGUGGCUUACCAAGGCUUUGACGGGUAGCCGGCCUGAGAGGGUGACCGGCCACAUUGGGACUAAGAGACGGCGCAGACUCCUACGGGAGGCAGCAGUGGGGAAUAUUGCACAGUGGGCGGAAGCCUGAUGCGGCAACGCCGGGUGCGGGAUGCCGGCCUUCGGGUUGUAAACCGCUUUCGCCUGUGCCGAAGCGUGAGUGACGGUAAUGGGUAAAGAAGCACCGGCUAACUACGUG